GAUGAACGCUGGCGGCGUGCCUAAUACAUGCAAGUCGAGCGAACAGACGAGGAGCUUGCUCCUCUGACGUUAGCGGCGGACGGGUGAGUAACACGUGGAUAACCUACCUAUAAGACUGGGAUAACUUCGGGAAACCGGAGCUAAUACCGGAUAAUAUAUUGAACCGCAUGGUUCAAUAGUGAAAGACGGUUUUGCUGUCACUUAUAGAUGGUUCCGCGCCGCAUUAGCUAGUUGGUAAGGUAACGGCUUACCAAGGCAACGAUGCGUAGCCGACCUGAGAGGGUGAUCGGCCACACUGGAACUGAGACACGGUCCAGACCCCUACGGGAGGCAGCAGUAGGGAAUCUUCCGCAAUGGGCGAAAGCCUGACGGAGCAACGCCGCGUGAGUGAUGAAGGUCUUCGGAUCGUAAAACUCUGUUAUUAGGGAAGAACAAAUGUGUAAGUAACUAUGCACGUCUUGACGGUACCUAAUCAGAAAGCCACGGCUAACUACGUG
rnacentral:rRNA from 1 species